rnacentral:rRNA from 1 species
UGCCAGCCGCCGCGGUAAUACAGAAGCCUCAAGCGUUACCCGGAUUUACUGGGCGUAAAGGGUGUGUAGGUGGCGUGAUUAGUCGGGUGUUAAAUCCUUGGGCUCAACCCAAGGCUCGCAUUCGAAACGGUCAUGCUGGAGGAAGUGAGAGGUGUGUGGAACUCACGGUGUAGGGGUGAAAUCCGUUGAUAUCGUGGGGAACACCAAAAGCGAAGGCAGCACACUGGCACUUUCUGACACUGAGACACGAAAGCGUGGGUAGCGAACGGGAUUAGAUA